rnacentral:rRNA from 1 species
UACGUAGGUGGCAAGCGUUGUCCGGAUUUACUGGGCGUAAAGAGCGCGCAGGCGGUCUUUUAAGUCGAAUGUGAAAGCCCCCGGCUCAACUGGGGAGGGUCAUUCGAUACUGAUCGACUUGAAGGCAGGAGAGGGUAGUGGAAUUCCCGGUGUAGUGGUGAAAUGCGUAGAUAUCGGGAGGAACACCAGUGGCGAAGGCGAC